rnacentral:rRNA from 1 species
CCUACGGGUGGCAGCAGUGGGGAAUAUUGCGCAAUGGGCGAAAGCCUGACGCAGCGACGCCGCGUGAGGGAUGAAGGUCUUCGGAUCGUAAACCUCUGUCAGCAGGGAAGAACGGUCACUGUGCUAAUCAGCAGUGCAUUGACGGUACCUGCAACGGAAGCACCGGCUAACUCCGUGCCAGCAGCCGCGGUAAUACGGAGGGUGCGAGCGUUCAUCGGAAUUACUGGGCGUAAAGCGCUCGUAGGCGGUAUGUCAAGUCAAGGGUGAAAUCCCCGCCCUCAACGUGGGAACUGCCUUUGAAACUGGCAAACUGGAGGGGGUGAGAGGAUAGUGGAAUUCCAGGUGUAGGAGUGAAAUCCGUAGAUAUCUGGAGGAACAUCAGUGGCGAAGGCGACUAUCUGGCACAUAACUGACGCUGAGGAGCGAAAGCGUGGGUAGCAAACAGGAUUAGAUACCCCUGUAGUC